GCACCCAGUGCACUCAGCAGACAUUUGAGACUGGAGAGAAUGUGUGCUUCAGAAAAUAUUAAGAGACCCUGAGAGCGUCAGUAACUUCCUUCCUGGCUGAAAUGAUAUUUCAGAGACGCUCAUUUGGACUAUGAGGUCAGUAAUGAGGGGCUCCUCCUGCAGUAUCUCUGCUGCAGCCACAUAUACUGAUUCUGAAGAGACAUGAAGUCACGCAGGAGCUGCUGGUCUAUCCUGCCGUUCCUCAGAACACGAAAUGAAAUGAAUCCACCUCUUGUCAUUCUCCUUGGACUCUGGAUCACCGGAGGCUUAAGUUUUCUCCUGCUCCUCCUGUUGCUGUUCUUCUGCUGCAGAUGGCAUAAGGGUGCAGUUCAGCAGAGGAGGACAAUAAUCAUAAAGCAACAAGAAGAGGCCCCAAAUCAUGAGGAAUCUCACAUGGAAAGCUCGUUACCAAGGAUGGUAUCAACAAUUUAUGCAAGCAUUGGAGCAGAUGCUGGGCAGAGGCAGCACAGAUGAGAGUCACAGACCGAAUAUGCCUCUACAAUCUUCUCUUAACAGCAACUGUAAACCCAACAUGUGGAGCUGGUUUUAGGCAUGAUCAGCACAUGCAGUUACUCUGGGAGCCACACAGUUCAGGAGCGCUGCUGUAAAUAAUCAAAUUAUCCUAUUUAAUGGGAACAGCACAGAAAUGGCAAUAUUGCUUAGAUGGUUUUUCCAGACUUCCCAACUCUUCAGAAGAGUGUAUUCUACGCAUGUAAAUGGAUGAUGGAUUAAAUCCAAAGUAUCUUUGUGGACUCAGGACUCAUCUGUUUAGGUGCAGCUUGAGGCACUGAAACCUGUAGAUUAUUGUUAUUGUCUCUUCAUACUGGAGUAGAGACUGGAGGCCUCAGUCAGGGAUCAGGAUACCAUUGUACCAAGCAAUGUACAAACACAACAUAAAGAUGGUUCCUGCCCCAAAGCAUAUGGGACAUCUUAAGCACUAAUAUGUUUUCCAUUGACAUGUACCCUGGGUAUCCCUGCUCCACUACCUCUCUGGGUGCCUAUGAUAUGUAGUAUGUGUGGCAUUUGGACUUUCAAGAAUCAUGCUAAGCAAUCCACUCCGUAAGGAAGGGUUUUUGUUUAAGUCUUGUUACACCAUCUAUAUGAGACUUACUUUACAGAUGACGCUUUAAGAAAUCCAGCUACCAUACGUCGUUCCACAUUCUUCCUGUUGAAAAUUCUCCCGAAGCUCUGGCAUCUCAACAAUAUACACAAACCACUCCGCUGUCCUCAUCACAUGUGAACAUUUCACAAAGUUUAACAAGCAUUACACUAUGUGACUUUGGUUUAACCGUCUCAAUAGUCUCAUCUAGCCAUCCAGAUUUAAAUGAAGUCGCUGUUCUUUUACGCUUUAGACCUCUAGACAGUGACAUUUUGGGAUUGAAUUUUUACCAGAUUGGUUUAUUUAAAAUUAAUACUUUUAUUAUAUGGCUACUAUUUCAAUGCGCUUAACAGCGUGACUCAACAAAAGGGCAAAUGGGAGAUCAUUCAGAUCAGGAUACCGGAAGUUUGUGCAUAGCUCUGAUCAUGUCCAUGCAUCUGCAGCAAAAAAACAUGGGGAAAUGGUAAAACAUCAUGAUUAAAUGUAUGAAGUCCAAUGUCUUUGAAAGAUUUCAAUCACAAAAACAACACUUACCUUGGUUCAUUUCUGGGAAAUCUUUGCAGUUCCUUAGCAACUAUGGCCAGGCAUUUUGACUUAUUUGCAUGUACUUGAGUUUGUACGCAGCCAAAUGAACAGACUACAAGGAGAUGUGUUGGUCCCGACCAUCCCGAUGUGAUCAACAUUCCAUGUUCAAAAUGAUGGCAGGAAGAGGUAUGAUUCAUUGCCCUCCUUUCCCUUUCCCCCCCUUUCCAGCUAGUAGAAUCUGGCUGUGUUGAUAGAUGGUGGGUGAACAAUGUCAAAAGUCGCCCGUAAAUGAUAUUUUGGCCUGGCUCCAAUGUAGUAUUUCAUUUUUUGUGCGCCUGGUGUUUCGUCAUGUGCGUGGGGUUUAGGAUCUGUGUGUGCGUGCACACGCACACAGCUUAGAGGGAACAGUGGUGCUAACCCCUUUUAGCUCCUAUUGAAGGCACCUAAGUUUGAAAAUAUUGGCGCUAGUAUCUAGAUACAGUUGUCUAAUAGAAGAAAAAAAUACAAUGGCAUUUGGUCAUUUGUAGUAGUUUUAAUAAAUAUACUCCUAAUGGUCCUGUGCACUACUAGAUUACUUAUUCACUUAUCUAUCUACUUAAUCAUAUUUGUCAUCUAUGACAUAUCACAUUUCUAGAAUUUUUUUUAAUUCUAUUUUUGCUUUCUCUCUAUUUUUACUUAAUUUGCUUUGAAUUAAUUUAUAGCAUUCUAUCUAAACACUUAUUAGAUCACUCUAGCACCUGAGUGUCUCACAUACAUCAAUGAGUAUUACCUCAGAGGGGUGCUGUGAGGUAGAGGGUACAAUUCAUUUUAUGUUCAUCUAUAAUAUGCAUCUGUCUUGCUUUAGUGUUUAUAUGUGCCUGCAGUAUUGUUGAAAAGUGAUAGUUAAAUAGAACCCCCUCACUGCGAUUGAUUUGCUCUUUCCCUUACUUGUGAGCUGCAAAAAGUUGUAGACGCUAUCUGCUUGCCAUGGGCAUAUAAGCUAUUUAGACUCUGGAAUACUCUAGAUUGGUAUAGUUGUUGGAUAGAAAACAAUCACCCAAAAGGUAGUUCAGAGUGCCUCCGUCUCGCCACAUGUGGGGAUGGGAAGAAGGUAAUGUUUUCUUCAGUUAAAAAGACAGCUUUCUGUAUUGGAGUUUACUGUGUACCAAAUUGGAUGAUGAAAUAGCAAAUAUAAUGGAAAAAUGUAAUUUCUCUGUGCUAACCAGAUGUCUUACAAGGUAGCUAGCCCUGUCCUCAUAAGAUGAUCUUAGCACCUGCUUUGUACAGGUGUAAACUAAGUCAAGUAAUGACCAAAAAUGAAGUCAAAAGGAUUACUGUAAAGAGUUCUGGUAUCUCUGUGUGCAGAGUCUCCUGGACCAGCCUAAGGCCACCAGAAUGAUACUACCUGGAGAUCUGUCUAAUACCUUACCCACUAUGGGAGGUUUGAGAGGGGGAGUCCCAUGAAGGCUGAAGUGCCAUGGAUGUCAGCUCACUAUUUUUCUAAAAAAACUUGGGUUUUCAACUUAUCAAAAUUUUUUGCUAAAAGAAUCUUUCUGCAAAAACUUACUUUGUCAUUAAAAAGAAAUGCCUGAAAAUUAACAUGUUUGGGCCAAAACCUGAAGUAUUUUAUUCAAAAUGGUGGCUCCAUGCCUUGUAUAAGUUGUAAUUUGGGUGCCUUCUGCUCCCAUUCUCUUCUUUGGGGUCUCUAUCUGGACUACAUAUCGCAUGUAGCGCCAUGGCCCGUGACUCCUAUGAUGAACCCACACUCCUCAUCAAGAGGGGGAAAAGAGGUGCAUUAUGGGAGGUGUGAUUUAGCCCAACAGUCUGGCCCAGAGAAAAGAAUGGGAGCGUAAAACCAACCUCUAUGAUAUGGGACAGUGACAUUUUGAAUCAACAUUCUAGUUUUUGACCAAAAUACUUUGAUUUUCAAUAUUUUUGCAAGAAAGUCAACCUUUUCCAAUGAAAAAUUAGAUUAAAAUGAAAAAUGGAUUUGCUAAAACCACAGGCGAAAAAGACCUAUUUUUCCAAGCAGCUGUAAUGUUCAUAGAGGUUUGCCCUUAGGGUAGGAAAUCUUUGUGCUGUGUAAUACGCCAUUUCUUUCUGUAGGGUUGUUCGUGAAUUAUUUUACUUACUUGGAAGCAAGGAAUGCCUUCUUUGGCCCAACAGCCAGUUGUGCUUCCAGAAGCACUUAGCACCUCCUUAACUUUCCACUGGUUGUGAGUCAAAAUAUGAGGGGUUGGUUUAGGUGGAAUCCUGUGGGUCUAUGUCCCCUCUCUUACUCUUGGUUACCAUUCCCUCACUCUCUUUUCUGAUGCCCAACCACGAUGCAUCAAGUAGCAGGGAGCCAAGACACUCUUUCAUCACAUGCCAGUCAGGUGUGGAAGGGGAAAAGAAGCUCCAUUGCACUGACCUACCUGCAGGAACAGUAAGUAACUUCCCAGGCAGCUCCUGGAGCAACUUGGAUGUCACAUUAGAACAUAAACUAAGAAGAAAAUACUGGUUGUGAUGGGAGCAGAGCAUUCACCCAGAUGUUGUGUGAGUACCAUAUAUAGAACAUGGAUAAUGUAUGUUACAUGUGCAGCUACACCUAUCAUGGAGCAAGAGACUUUGGUUUCAUGCCUCAAGGUCAAGCAUAAAUUUUACACACAACAGGGAUUAAUGGUAAUAGGGUGGUCUGCAUCUUGGGAAAGGCUCCUCUCAUCCAUUUUGGCUGGGUGGAGCCAUUUUUUUCCUGCAGUGUUUCAUGUAUUCAAAUGGAUCUUCUGUUAAAUCUUUUUCUCAGACUUGUUUGUGGUCAGGCAGCAGUCAAGGGAUUAAUGAUAUAAAUGAAAUAAAAGGCACCGAGU